rnacentral:rRNA from 1 species
GACGAACGCUGGCGGCGUGCCUAACACAUGCAAGUGGAGCGACGAACCAGGCUUCGGCCUGGAGCAAAGCCGCGAACGGGUGAGUAACACGUGGGUAACCUGCCCCGAUGAUCGGGACAACCCGGGGAAACCCGGGCUAAUACCGAAUAAGCUCGCAGCUCAUGAGGGCUGUGAGGAAAGGAAGCUUCGGCCUCCGUAUCGGGAGGGGCCCGCGGCCCAUUAGCUCGUUGGUGGGGUAACGGCCUACCAAGGCUCCGAUGGGUAGCUGGUCUGAGAGGACGAUCAGCCACACUGGGACUGAGACACGGCCCAGACUCCUACGGGAGGCAGCAGUGGGGAAUCUUGCGCAAUGCGCGAAAGCGUGACGCAGCAACGCCGCGUGCGGGAAGAC